AGGAUGUUGGCUUAGAAGCAGCCAUCAUUUAAAAAGUGCGUAACAGCUUACUGGUCGAGCAGGUCUGCGCCGAUAAUGAACGGGAGUAAGCACGACACCGAAGCAGUAGAUUUAUGGUAGGAGAGCGCCGCAUAGCAGAUACAAGCCGUACCGAAAGGAGCGGUGUCGGGCUGUGCGGGUGAUUAUGCCGGAAUGAGUAACGAUAAGGCAGGUGAGAAUCCUGCCCGCCGAAAGCCUAAGGUUUCCUGGG
rnacentral:rRNA from 1 species